UAAAUCAAAUAUUACAAAGAAUGCACCAUCUCUUGAAUGUACUUAUCUGAAUUGUAAAAUAGAGAUGUAAAUUUUUAUUAUACUCUUCAAUUGUUAAGUAACUUCAAAUUCUGUCAUUUUUAAUCUAACAAAAACUAAACUUUUUGAAUCUUCUUACAUAAAAUAUUAUUUUUUAUACUGAUAAGUGAUACCUUCACAAUUAAAAAUUAAAAUUGAGUGAAUUUUCUCCUUGCAACAUUUGUAAAUGGUGAACUGAAAAUAAAUUCAAGACACAAAAUUUUGUUAAUGAACAAAAUUUGAAUGUUGAUAAAGUUCGAUGGCUGAAUUUUCGAUCUCCAACUCCUACAAAAUUUCGAUAACAAAAUAAAGGAUUAGAAGGAGAUGAUAAAAAAGUGAAAUUUUUAAUAUGUACAUACAAGUGAAAUGACAUUAUUAGAACUCUUAACUGGGCAAGGCUGAUUCCAAGUCCCCCCACUUCAAAUGAUCUGUCAUGAAAUGCAACCCCAUUUUUAGCAAAAUUUUAUAUGCAAGAUAUAUAUUGUUUUGGAUAAAAUAAAGAACGAAAGACACUCAUGUGUCAUGUGUAGUUAUAAUAUUCACUUUGAAGUAUUAAAUACAAGUUCAAGAUUAAACCCCAACGUGAUGUGUUGAGCAAACCCACCUACAAUUCAAACAAACCAAUUAAUUAGUUUAGGAUUUGCAAAGGAUUAAAAUCAAGAACCAAAAACUGAAAAAUUAAAUAACGAUUUUCCCCUUCUAAAUUAGGCUCAGAAAUUUGAUCUCCAUCACAAAUGUAUCUCCAAUUUGAAGGUUAUAAUUAGUCACAAAGAUAGAUUCACAAAGAAAGACAGAGGAUGUUUUAAUUUUGCACAAAGCAGAGAGUUUUUUC
rnacentral:lncRNA from 1 species